UGAGUAAUGUAUCGGAACGUGCCUAGUAGCGGGGGAUAACUACGCGAAAGCGUAGCUCAUACCGCAUACGCCCUACGGGGGAAAGCAGGGGAUCGCAAGACCUUGCACUAUUAGAGCGGCCGAUAUCGGAUUAGCUAGUUGGUGGGGUAACGGCUCACCAAGGCGACGAUCCGUAGCUGGUUUGAGAGGACGACCAGCCACACUGGGACUGAGACACGGCCCAGACUCCUACGGGAGGCAGCAGUGGGGAAUUUUGGACAAUGGGGGAAACCCUGAUCCAGCCAUCCCGCGUGUGCGAUGAAGGCCUUCGGGUUGUAAAGCACUUUUGGCAGGAAAGAAACGUCAUGGGCUAAUACCCCGUGAAACUGACGGUACCUGCAGAAUAAGCACCGGCUAACUACGUGCCAGCAGCCGC
rnacentral:rRNA from 1 species